AGCCAUGCGUUGAGCACAUAGCGAACUAUUCUUUUGUCUUUUACUAAAGAAUAUCGGGUGUUCAUCGCUUUAAGUGACAUACGUCUAUUUUUGGAGGGGAUCACCUCUGUGGGUAU